UACGUAGGGUGCAAGCGUUGUCCGGAAUUAUUGGGCGUAAAGAGCUCGUAGGCGGUUCGUCGCGUCGGCUGUGAAAUCCCGAGGCUCAACCUCGGGUCUGCAGUCGAUACGGGCAUCACUGGAGUUCGGCAGGGGAGACUGGAAUUCCUGGUGUAGCGGUGAAAUGCGCAGAUAUCAGGAAGGAACACCGUGGCGAAGGCGGCUCUCGUC
rnacentral:rRNA from 1 species